CUUUCCAGAGAUGGACUGGUGCCUUCGGGAACUGUGAGACAGGUGCUGCAUGGCUGUCGUCAGCUCGUGUUGUGAAAUGUUGGGUUAAGUCCCGCAACGAGCGCAACCCUUAUCCUUUGUUGCCAGCGGUCCGGCCGGGAACUCAAAGGAGACUGCCAGUGAUAAACUGGAGGAAGGUGGGGAUGACGUCAAGUCAUCAUGGCCCUUACGACCAGGGCUACACACGUGCUACAAUGGCGCAUACAAAGAGAAGCGACCUCGC
rnacentral:rRNA from 1 species